rnacentral:lncRNA from 1 species
UGGAAAGCAUGAACCUAAAACCCAAGUCUAGGUAAGAGAAGGACAUGAUAUAAUGUUUGAGCUACUGUUUAUCUUGUUCCUACUACAUAGAGUUCUAGAGAUUUAUUUUGAAAACAUGCAAAUCACAUGAUGAGUUCCUAGCACGAUAAACUUCCUACCACAGCCAUACUUGCUAUAACAUCUUUUACUAUAUUCACAUUGAGUUUGAUCGAGCUGUGGAGACCAUUAGGAGCUUUUCAUGUGGUUAAAUUAAGAUAUUCACUUGCACACAUCUACUACACCAUCCACCACCAUUCAUUAAAAUUGCUAAGAAUAUUAUCACUCACUGUUCCAAGUGUUGUUAUUCUCUCUCUUUAAAAAGAUUCAGUGCAGAAGAGGCAUGGGUUAUGCAAAAGUAUGCGAGGAAAUAAAAAGGUGCAAGUGCCCGGAACCUCAAAAAAGAAAGAAAGAAAAAGAGUGAGACGAGAGGUAAAAAUGGACAAGUGUCCGAAGUAGAAUUAGGGGUACAAAGAUGCCCACCU